rnacentral:rRNA from 1 species
GGGGCAACCCCUUGAGAGUGGCGAACGGGUGAGUAAUAUAUCGGAACGUGCCCAGUCGUGGGGGAUAACGUAGUGAAAAUUACGCUAAUACCGCAUACGAUCUAAGGAUGAAAGCGGGGGAUCGCAAGACCUCGCGCGAUUGGAGCGGCCGAUAUCAGAUUAGGUAGUUGGUAGGGUAAAGGCCUACCAAGCCAACGAUCUGUAGCUGGUCUGAGAGGACGACCAGCCACACUGGAACUGAGACACGGUCCAGACUCCUACGGGAGGCAGCAGUGGGGAAUUUUGGACAAUGGGCGAAAGCCUGAUCCAGCCAUUCCGCGUGCAGGAUGAAGGCUCUCGGGUUGUAAACUGCUUUUGUACAGAACGAAAAGGUCUCUAUUAAUACUAGGGGCUCAUGACGGUACUGUAAGAAUAAGCACCGGCUAACUACGUGCCAGCAGCCGCGGUAAUACGUAGGGUGCAAGCGUUAAUCGGAAUUACUGGGCGUAAAGCGUGCGCAGGCGGUUAUAUAAGUCAGAUGUGAAAUCCCCGGGCUCAACCUGGGAACUGCAUUUGAGACUGUAUAGCUAGAGUACGGUAGAGGGGGAUGGAAUUCCGCGUGUAGCAGUGAAAUGCGUAGAUAUGCGGAGGAACACCGAUGGCGAAGGCAAUCCCCUGGACCUGUACUGACGCUCAUGCACGAAAGCGUGGGGAGCAAACA